rnacentral:rRNA from 1 species
CCUACGGGUGGCUGCAGUGGGGAAUAUUGCACAAUGGGGGAAACCCUGAUCCAGCGACGCCGCGUGAGUGAAGAAGUAUCUCGGUAUGUAAAGCUCUAUUAGCAGGGAAGAAAAUGACGGUACCUGAUUAAGAAGCCCCGGCUGACUACGUGCCAGCAGCCGCGGUAAUAUGUAGGGGACAAGCGUUAUCCGGAUUUACUGGGUGUUAAGGGAGCGUAGGCGGCAGCACAAGUCUGGAGUGAAAUGCCGGGGCUUAACCCCGGAACUGCGUUGGAAACUGGGCAGCUAGAGUGGGGGAGAGGUAAGUGGAAUGCGUGGUGUAGCGGUGAAAUGCGUAGAUAUUAGGAAGAACACCAGUGGCGAAGGCAGCUUACUGGACUGUAACUGACGUUGAGGCACGAAAGCGUGGGGAGCGAACAGGAUUAGAUACCCGAGUAGUC